GAUGAACGCUGGCGGCGUGCCUAAUACAUGCAAGUCGAGCGAACAGACGAGGAGCUUGCUCCUCUGACGUUAGCGGCGGACGGGUGAGUAACACGUGGAUAACCUACCUAUAAGACUGGGAUAACUUCGGGAAACCGGAGCUAAUACCGGAUAAUAUAUUGAACCGCAUGGUUCAAUAGUGAAAGACGGUUUUGCUGUCACUUAUAGAUGGAUCCGCGCCGCAUUAGCUAGUUGGUAAGGUAACGGCUUACCAAGGCAACGAUGCGUAGCCGACCUGAGAGGGUGUUAGGCCCCACAUGAACUGAGACACCGUCCACACUCCUACGGGAGUCAUCAGUGGCGAAUCUUGCUCUAUUGACCAAAACGUGACGGAGCAACGCCGCAUGACUGAUGAAGAUCUUCGGAUCGUAAAACUCUGUUAUUAGCGAAGAACAAAUGUGUAAGUAACUAUGCACGUCUUGACGAUACCUAAUCAGAGAGCCACGGCUAACUACGUG
rnacentral:rRNA from 1 species